rnacentral:lncRNA from 1 species
GUGGUGAGGGCGGUGGUGGAGAGCGAGGGGGUGGUGGAGAGGGAGGUGGUGGAGAGCGAGGCGGGGGUGGAGAGCGAGGGGGUGGUGGAGAGGGAGGUGGUGGAGAGCGAGGGGGGGUGGAGAGCGAGGGGGUGGUGGAGAGGGAGGUGGUGGAGAGCGAGGGGGUGGUGGAGAGCGUACGGGGUGGUGGUGGAGAGCGAGGGGGUGGUGGAGAGGGAGGGGGUGGUUGCGGAGAGCGACGGAGUGGUGGUAGAGAGCGAGGGCGUGGUGGAGAGGGAUGUGGUCCGACCCCACAGUCCCCCCCUUUGCUACAGCAUGCGUCAUCUGGGCACUGAGCACAGACUGAAUCUGGUGGGCAUGGUGGUGAGAGGGCGCAGACGCCCAGCCAUCGAUCACCUACUGCUGCCACCAAGACAACAAAAACGAGGAAAUAAAGAGGAGGACGAGAGGAGGCCAUUUCUUCUUCUUAUUCUUCCCCCCGUUUUGCUUCUCGAAUGCAGCACGCAUGCCUUCAUGUAGAGUAAAAAGCAACAGGGAGGGCGGAUGGUGGGCAAAAGAUAGUUGAGCGUCUUGUAAGCAUGUGUCCUAAACCACGUCCGUCACAUGCAUGGAGUACGACCCUGUGGACCACUCGGUGGAGGUCCAUUUUGACCACGUCCAUCACAUGCAUGGAGUACGACCCUAUGGACCACUCGGUGGACGACCAUUUUGAGGUGUCAUAACUUGAAUUGUUCUGUGCCGGGGGAAUUCACAACACGAUUUGGUGGUGAAGGAAACAAAAAGUCGAUCAUUAUACGAAGGAUUGGACAAUAAAUGGCCUUUUACCCCGCCUUUUUUGUGGAUUGCAGACUCGGUGAUCCGG